rnacentral:rRNA from 1 species
CAGCAGCCACGGUAAUACGGAGGUCUCAAGCGUUGUUCGGAUUCAUUGGGCGUAAAGGGUGCGUAGGUGGCGGUGUAAGUCUAACGUGAAAUCUCGGGGCUCAACCUCGAAAUUGCGUCGGAUACUGCAUUGCUAGAGGAUUGUAGAGGAGAGUGGAAUUCAUGGUGUAGCAGUGAAAUGCGUAGAUAUCAUGAGGAAGACCAGUUGCGAAGGCGACUCUCUGGGCAAUUCCUGACACUGAGGCACGAAGGCUAGGGGAGCAAACGGGAUUAGAUACCCCAGUAGUCCCUGUCUCUUAUAA